rfam:Asian citrus Psyllid, Diaphorina citri - Florida Strain, whole genome shotgun sequence.
GCUAGGGGUGAUAGUACAAUGAAUGCACCAGUUGCCAAUGGAUCACUGAAGUUAAUCAACGUUCCGCGUGGUUCAUAUCCGGAUGGGUGACCAUCUGGACAACUGGAUCCUGCUGACU